rnacentral:rRNA from 1 species
GCAUACCUGCACUCGACCGAACUCGNGUUAAAGUUUGAUCAUGGCUCACAGUGAACGUAGCGGUAGUGCCUAACACAUGCAAGUCGAACGGCAGCACAGGAGAGCUUGCUCUCUGGGUGGCGAGUGGCGGACGGGUGAGGAAUACAUCGGAAUCUACUCUGUCGUGGGGGAUAACGUAGGAAACUUACGCUAAUACCGCAUACGACCUACGGGUGAAAGCAGGGGAUCUUUCGGACCUUGCGCGAUUUGAAUGAGCCCGAUUGGUCGGGAAUUUAGCCUAAGUUUGGCCGGGGGGGUUAAAGGGGCCCCUACCCCAAAUGGCCGGAACCGAAUUCCCGNUUANGGCCUUGGGUUCUUGGC